rnacentral:rRNA from 1 species
CUACGGGACGCUGCAGUCAAGAAUAUUCCACAAUGCACGAAAGUGUGAUGGAGCGACGCCGCGUGCAGGAAGAAGCCCCUUGGGGUGUAAACUGCUUUUAUCAGGGAAGAAUUUGUGACGGUACCUGAUGAAUAAGGGGUGGCUAACUCUGUGCCAGAAGCCUCGGUAAUACAGAGACCCCAAACGUUGUCCGGAUUCAUUGGGCGUAAAGCGUCCGCAGGUGGUGUGAUAAGUUAUUGGUCAAAUCUUCGGGCCCAACUCGGAGACUGCUAAUAAUACUGCCACACUUGAGGCUGGAAGAGGCAAGCGGAACUAUCGGUGUAGUCGUAAUAAGCGCUGAUAUCGAUAGGAACACCAAAGGCGAAGGCAGCUUGCUAGUACAUGCCUGACACUCAUGGACGAAAGCGUGGGUAGCGAAAGGGAUUAGAUACCCGGGUAGUC